ensembl:lncRNA
AUGGUCUCCUCUGUGCUGGUCAGUGUUGGGGUGUAUGCGCUGAUGAUUGUGGUAUACCGGUCUUUGCUGAGAGGCAAAAGGAUCUUCAUGAGCCUCUCACUGAUGCCCACAGGCAAGUCUGGCAGCUGUUUGAGCAAACUGGUCUUGAUAGCCAGGCCAACAGUGUGGAUUCUGUCUUCACUUGUGGCUCUACCUUUCCAGAAGAAGGUAUAUCCAGUAGUGGGUUCGCUGAAUGAUCCCUCUUCUGGUAAGCGUGUUUCGCUUAAGCCUCUGAUGUCGAUGUUAUAUCAUGCCAGUUCUUUACCGAUUAAAGCUGUUCUUCUCAAGACAUACCUAAGAAAUUACUUAUCCAGCCUUUGCUUGAAGAUCCCUUAUUGUUCACUCUUGGUGACUCCAUGUGGCCUGUGAAUGUCUGAACUCAGGAUUUGAAGUCAGGGAGAUUCCUGACUCAAGGCCUGACACUCUAUCCUAAAGAUCUCAAGGGAUGGGAAAUAAUUAUUUAAAUAUCCACAUUAUUUCAUUUGAGCUACAAAACAACUCAGUAAAGUAGAUAUCAUGGGUAUUGUUAUCCCUAUUUUACAACUGAGGAAACAAACUUACAGACAGUAAGCAACUUGCUCAUGGUCAUACACUUAAUUAAAUGCAACUGUGUACUGAUGCAACUUACUCUACUUUGGAUAGCAAUAAUUAUUUGGAUAUUUUCUUCAUGUCAGUCUUAAAUCUGCUUCUUUGAACCUUCUACCUAUGACUCUAGUUCUGUCCUUUCAGGACAAGCAGAACAAGUCUAAUCUUUCCACAUAACAUCCUUUAAAAUACUUUAAACUAGUUAUUAUGAUCCAAAUAAUUCAUUUCUUCUCCAAGCUAAACAUAGUUCCUUCAAUUGAUUCUAAUAUCGUAAAAUCUUGAGUUUCCUCACCAUCAUGGUUGCCUUGACCAAAUGUUCUCAAACCUACUAAUCUGUUCUAAAACAUGGCUCACAGAACUGAACAGAUAUUCAAGAUGUUAGUGAAUACAAUAGGACCUUAUUCAUAAACACUAUGUAGCCAAAUAUCACAUUAGCUUUGUUUGUAGUCUUUCAUAUUGUAUCAAAUCACUGACUCAGCUGAAUUUGAAGUUCACUAAAAACAUCAAGAUUUGGGGGAAAAAAUUCUAUCUAGUCAAGCCUCCCCACUCUUAACUUGUGAAUUUGAUUUUUUUGAACCGAAAACAUAAAAUUUUACAUUGAAAUUUUAUCCCAUUGGAAGGGAAGGAAGUAAAUGUUCUAAUCUGUGAAGAUAUUUUAAGAUCCUUUGAUUCACUGUCAUUAUCUUUCCUAGUUGUGUGUCAUCUGCAAAUUAGGCAAGGAUGUCAUCUGUGCUUUUAUUGAUACUAAUUAAACUAUAAGUAAGAAACUUUAUAGCUUGUGAUGGGAACCCUUUUCUUCUGUUACUGUAUCUCAAUUUUUUUCCCCCUAUUGCAGUGCUUUAUAGUAAAUCCUGCUGGGAUUUACUCCUUUAAAUCACUGAUAUGCUAUUAUCAGGAACCAAGGAGAAAGAAAAAAUGGAAAGCUAUGUGUCUUCCUCUUACCUUCUCCUCUACCCUCAGAGUUCUGAAAAAAAGAGAAUUCAGGUAAGUUAAGGGAUUUGAUGGCAGCAGAGACCCAACAGAUGGCACUAGCUAGUUGGAUCUCUCAUAGUGCCUGGCAGAAUAAUGAGACAGGUGCUACCAAAAUAUGAAACACUGCAGGGCACUAGUAGAGAGUGCAUUUUACCAUCUUCUUUCUCCCCACUGGCCUUUCCCCUUUCUUUGAAGGUCCUGGCACCAUAGCACCGGACACAUAAUACUAGUUCCAUUUUACAGGGAAAGUAAGUAGUUAACCAACAUUGCUUAGUUUGUGACAAAACCCAUAACUAUAUCCAGGUCUCCUAAUAGCUAGUACAGUACUCUUUCUACAAUAUUAAUAUGGUUUUUAAGAUUUUGCUAGAUGUUUAAAAAAGUAAACGUAUGAGUGAAAAGAUAGAUAGAUGGGCCAAUUGGUUUUUCUAACAAAGUAUUUCUGAUCUUAACAAAAAAAAAAGCCAAAUACCCCUAAGUAAAAUGGUGGGUUACUCAGCUGCUGUACUAUAAAAGUGGCAGCUAUAUAAUUUUAAAGCAUAAUAAUCUAAUUAGCCACAAACAGGUUUAUCAGGCUGAUGGAAUCCAGCACAACCCCCUAAAGAAUCAGCAAAUGAUUUUUCACUCUUUCCUUUCAAUUCUAGAGAGGGAGAGGAAUGCUGGCUCAAUAGUAAUUAGAAUGAACUGCAGCUUUUAAGCAGUCAAAGCUCCUGUUACCACUGAGACACAAGAAUGAUCUAAUCAGACACCAGGGUCAGAUAACACCAAAAAAAAAGGGUCUUUAAGGAUAUCAUAACAAUGGUUUAUAUCUACUUUGAGACUAUCCUGAAAUACAUUCCUACAACCAGAAAAGAUAUGUAACAUUUAAAAUUUAGGAAUAUGGGGAGACUGAGGCAGGUAGAAAUUAGUUUCUCUCUGCAAGGAGUAUUAUAUUUUUUAGAGGUUUAUUAAGGAUUAAGGAUUAAAGAAUAUACAAGUAAGAAACAUGUGCCUAGGCCAGAGGCCUAGACAAAAUAACCUCACAUCAUGGAAGAGACACCUCUGCCCCAAAAUGGAAGUCCAAAAGAGCCCCAAAAACCUUUUCCACCAGUUUAAAUCCUUCCUAGAUCUCAGCCCACCUCAGAAUUCCCAUGAGAUUACAAAGCAUUUGGGGGAAGUGGAGCAAAGGCUUGUGGGGAUUGUAGUCCUGUAUUUGAGUCUAUUUUUUACAGAUACUAGGGGUCAUGUAGGGAGACAAUGGAGAAAAGCUCAGCAAAAUAGACUAGAGACAUACCUAUUAGCCAAAGAGUGUAAAAAACUAUAAAAGUCAGAGAAGGAAGAUAAUAAGUAGGGAAAUUAUAUUCACUGGCCUCUUCAAUAGCCAUAGUAUUGUAACAGUUAAAAUUUAGGAAUUUGGGGAGAUGGGGGAGACUGAGGCAUCUGAGGCAGGUAGAAAUUAGUUUUUCUCUGCAAGGAGUAUUAUUUUUUUUGAGGUUUAUUAAGGAUUAAGGAUUAAAGAAAAGACAGGAUAAGAAACACGUGCCUAGGCCAGAGUGGCCUAGACAAAACCUCACCUACAUUAUGGAAAGAGCCAUGUCUGCUCCAAAAUGGAAGGCCAAAAAAGCGAGAGAGCCCUCAAAAGCCUUUGAAUCAGCUUAAAUACCUUCUCGAUCUCAGCCCAGGUGAGAUUACAAGGCAUUCUGGGGGGAUUGUAGUCCUGUAUUCGAGUCUAUUUUUUACAGUAUCCUUUUUAUACCUGUAAGCUUAUUAACUGGUUCUUCUAACCAGAAUUGGAAUUGCAAGUAAGAUAAACAUACACCUAAGAUACCACAUGGAAAGGAGCACAACAAAUCAAUCAACAAGAGUUUAUUAAAUAUCUACCAUAUGCCAAACACUGUGCUAAAUACUGGAGAAAACCAAAGAAUGAAAUAAUGAGAGACUUUUCCAUUCUGCUUUUUGUUUCAGUUGCUGUUUAGCUGUUUUUCAGUCAUGUCUGACUCUCCGUGACCCCUUUUUGGGAUAUUCUUGGCAAAGAUACUGGAGUGGUUUGCCAUUUCCUUUUCCAGUUCAUUUUAAGGAUAAAGAAAAUGAACCAAACAUGGUUAAGUGACUUGUCCAAAUCACACAACUAGUACAUAUCUGAGGCCUCCUUUGAACUCAGGAACAUGAGUUUUCCUGAUUCUAGGUCUGGCACUCUAACUUCUACAUCAUCUGGCUACUCUUGCUUUUUAUAAAUGUAUAUCAUUUGAAGGUCAUAUUGCUAUUCUUCUAGAGAAUUCUGUGAUUGUACUUACAUAUAAAUAGAUGUUUUUAUUGUGCUUCUGCUAUGAUGCCCCAAAAUAAACAUCUUAUAAGAAUUCA